UGGGGGAUAUUGCACAAUGGGGGAAACCCUGAUGCAGCGACGCCGCGUGGGUGAAGGAGCACUUCGGUGCGUAAAGCCCUAUCGGCAGGGAAGAAAAGGGGGGAAACCCCCAGACGGUACCUGACUAAGAAGCCCCGGCUAACUACGUGCC
rnacentral:rRNA from 1 species